rnacentral:misc_RNA from 1 species
GAUGAAGAACGCAGCGAAAUGCGAUACGUAAUGUGAAUUGCAGAAUUCAGUGAAUCAUCGAGUCUUUGAACGCACAUUGCGCCCCCUGGUAUUCCGGGGGGCAUGCCUGUCCGAGCGUCAUUGCUGCCCUCAAGCACGGCUUGUGUGUUGGGCCUCCGUCCUCCUCCCGGGGGACGGGCCCGAAAGGCAGCGGCGGCACCGCGUCCGGUCCUCGAGCGUAUGGGGCUUCGUCACCCGCUCUUGUAGGCCCGGCCGGCGCUUGCCGACACAUCAAUCUUUUUUCCAGAUUGACCUCGGAUCAGGUAGGGAUACCCGCUGAACUUAAGCAUAUCAAUAAGCGGAGGA